GCAGAGGGACUCAUCAAAGCACUAAAGUUGCUUUGAACCAGAAAUUGCAGCCAGAUGCGAUUGCAGUCUCCGUAUCCUCUUUUGAAGAUAAACCAUGCGGUUUUGAUGAAGAACAGAUGAAAUGGAAAUCGCAGUGAAAAAAAUACGGCAGCGAGGACCGUGCAGCCGCCUGCUCACUCCCCCCACGGGGAGAUGGGGGAGAGAAUCAGAAGAGGGAAAGUGAGAAAACUCAUGGGUAGAGCAAAAGCCGCGCACGCAAGCAAACAAAACAAGA